rnacentral:rRNA from 1 species
AACGAACGCUGGCGGCAGGCUUAACACAUGCAAGUCGAACGGUUGUAGCAAUACAGCAGUGGCAGACGGGUGAGUAACACGUGGGAACCUUCCUAGGGGUACGGAACAACUCAGGGAAACUUGAGCUAAUACCGUAUACGUCCGUGAGGAGAAAGAUUUAUCGCCCUUAGACGGGCCCGCGUAGGAUUAGGUAGUUGGUGGGGUAAUGGCCUACCAAGCCUACGAUCCUUAGCUGAUCUGAGAGGAUGAUCAGCCACACUGGGACUGAGACACGGCCCAGACUCCUACGGGAGGCAGCAGUGGGGAAUCUUGGACAAUGGGCGCAAGCCUGAUCCAGCCAUGCCGCGUGAGUGAAGAAGGCCUGGUUG